CAAAAACAUGGCCUUUCGUUUGUGGUAGAAGAAAGGUCUGGCCUGCCCGGUGGAGUUCAUCUAAACGGUCGCAGCUGUCACUGUGCUAAGGUAGCGUAAUAGGUCGUCCUUUAAUUGGGGAAAGGUAUGAAUGGUCGGAUGAUGGAAAGUCUUUAUUGGUGAUAGGUUUUGAAUUUUACUUCCAACGUGCAAAGGCUUGGAUAAGUUUAUUAGACGAGAAGACCCUGUUGAGCUUGUUAGGCCUGGGCCUUGGUUGGUUCUGGAGUAUGUUUUUUCGGGGCUGAAAGGAAGGGAGAUUAAUACCUUCUUUUUUUAUGUUGACCCGGCAUGGCCGGUAAGAAGAAGAUAGUUACCACAGGGAUAACAGCGCAAUCUUUUUGUCAAGGUCAUAUUUGAGAGGGGGUUUGCGACCUCGAUGUUGAAUCAGAGUUCCUAUCAGGUGCAGCAGCUUGGUAAGUGGGACUGUUCGUCCCUUGAAACUCUACGUGAU
rnacentral:rRNA from 1 species